AACGAACGCUGGCGGCAUGCCUAACACAUGCAAGUCGAACGAGACCUUCGGGUCUAGUGGCGCACGGGUGCGUAACGCGUGGGAACCUGCCCUUAGGUUCGGAAUAACUCCCCGAAAGGGGUGCUAAUACCGGAUAAUGUCUUCGGACCAAAGAUUUAUCGCCUUUGGAUGGGCCCGCGUUGGAUUAGCUAGUUGGUAGGGUAAAAGCCUACCAAGGCGACGAUCCAUAGCUGGUCUGAGAGGAUGAUCAGCCACACUGGGACUGAGACACGGCCCAGACUCCUACGGGAGGCAGCAGUGGGGAAUAUUGGACGAUGGGCGAAAGCCUGAUCCAGCAAUGCCGCGUGAGUGAUGAAGGGCUUAGGGUUGUAAAGCUCUUUUACCCGGGAUGAUAAUGACAGUACCGGGAGAAUAAGCUCCGGCUAACUCCGUG
rnacentral:rRNA from 1 species